rnacentral:rRNA from 1 species
UACGUAGGUGGCAAGCGUUGUCCGGAUUUACUGGGCGUAAAGGGCGCGUAGGCGGUCAGCACAAGUCAGUUGUGAAAUCUCCGGGCUUAACUCGGAAAGGUCAACUGAUACUGUGCGACUAGAGUGCGGAAGGGGCAACUGGAAUUCUCGGUGUAGCGGUGAAAUGCGUAGAUAUCGAGAGGAACACCUGCGGCGAAGGCGGGUUGCUGGGCCGACACGUG